UACACUCCUGCGGGAGGCAGCAGUGGGGAAUUUUGGACAAUGGGCGAAAGCCUGAUCCAGCAAUGCCGCGUGAGUGAAGAAGGCCUUCGGGUUGUAAAGCUCUUUUGUCAGGGAAGAAACGGUGAAAGCUAAUAUCUUUUGCUAAUGACGGUACCUGAAGAAUAAGCACCGGCUAACUACGUGCCAGCAGCCGCGGUAAUACGUAGGGUGCAAGCGUUAAUCGGAAUUACUGGGCGUAAAGCGUGCGCAGGCGGUUUUGUAAGUCUGAUGUGAAAUCCCCGGGCUCAACCUGGGAAUUGCAUUGGAGACUGGAAGGCUAGAAUCUGGCAGAGGGGGGUAGAAUUCCACGUGUAGCAGUGAAAUGCGUAGAUAUGUGGAGGAACACCGAUGGCGAAGGCAGCCCCCUGGGUCAAGACUGACGCUCAUGCACGAAAGCGUGGGGAGCAAACAGGAUUAGAAACCCUUGUAGUCCCAU
rnacentral:rRNA from 1 species